rnacentral:tRNA from 1 species
GGGCGUGUAGCUCAGGAGCAGAGCGCUACGUUGACAUCGUAGAGGUCAGAGGUUCGAAGCCUCUCUCGCCCA